rnacentral:rRNA from 1 species
UACGAAGGGGGGCUAGCGUUGCUCGGAAUCACUGGGCGUAAAGGGCGCGUAGGCGGCCAUUCAAGUCAGAGGUGAAAGCCCAAGGCUCAACCUUGGAACUGCCUUUGAUACUGUUUGGCUUGAGACCGGUAGAGGUAAGUGGAACUGCGAGUGUAGAGGUGAAAUUCGUAGAUAUUCGCAAGAACACCAGUGGCGAAGGCGGCUUACUGGACCGGUUCUGACGCUGAGGCGCGAAAGCGUGGGGGAGCAAACAGG